UAAAUGCAGGCUUCCACAUGAUUUGGCCACAACAAACUACGGUAACUAUGGUAACUUUAACACAUCACAGUUACAGUAGAACACUCUCAGAGGAGUUUCAGCAGCAACAGAAAAGCAAAGGAGGAACAUCAGUUGGAAUUUAGUUUGUCAGAUAAAAGUUGACAAAAUGGUAUUCAACCUACAGCCUGCCAGACAUCUAACUGAAAGAGGUGGACCAUUUAGGUCAGAGGUCAUCCAAUCCAGGCUCAGGUUGAGGUAUUUUGGACUUUGGAUCGGAGAUUUUAGAUCUAUCUGUGCAAUGUCACAAAAUCAAACGGCUGAAUUGCCUCCUCAGUGACAGCAUGGUCCUGCUAAUGACCUCAUAAUUUCUCUUUGGUGUGAACUCAGCUUCUCCAGACGAACGACAGCAGCAACUAGCAAACAUCUGGUGGAGAUGGCAGACCUUCUCAUCCAGUCUGCACAGAUUAGCCCUCUGAGGCCACCGUGGAAGUUCACUGUCUGCCAAGCACUUUGAAGCAUGCCAGCAGUAAUCAGUUCAUUGAUAUUCUAUAUUGAUGAUGAAUACCCAUCUGUUUACUACAGCAAGAUGUUUAUAUUACCACCAGCUCCCUGUAAAGUGCAACACUCAACAGAAGCAGUUCAACCCUAACUGUACUCACAUGGUGGAGAGGGUCAUGGAACCAAGUGCUCACAUGGCUCACAAAUGUCUGACUCGUGUAUGAAAGUAUGAGCAUCAACACAAAACAAAUCAAGGCCAGCUGGGCGACCAACGUAGGAAGGACCCUACAGACAUUCCCUGAUCAGAUACACGCCCACUGAGAAGGUCACUCUGGUAAUUGCUGGUUGCUACAUGUAGGUUUUGCUCAGUGCCAAAGAUUGAUCCCAUCCAUCUUGUACAACAUCAACAGCUUGGUAAUCUGCACAGAAAGAAGGUUGCUACCACACAGCUGGCAAGUCCAGCAGGAUGAAGAGAGGUUGCUAUGAAGCUGGUCAAAAACAGAAACACAGCAGUGCCUUUUUCUGGAUCAGAAAUGUAAUCUUCAUAGUUAACAAUGGAACAAUCUUACAUUCCUCAUUUUACAAUAUACACACCAUGUGGUAGGAGUUAAGAGGUGUGGACAUUUUUAUGUCAAGGAUCCAUUACUAACGUAUAAGAGAGUCAACUCAAUAUUCUUUUCUUGGUUCCUAAAGGAGUUUAAACUGGAAACUAGAAAGUGACUAGAAUAUGAUUAGUGAUUUUCUGCUGCUGCUACAUGCUGGUCCAGGAGGAGUGAAUGCUGCAAGUCAAUGACUAAAUGCAAUCUGCUGGGUUUUCUUACAUAGAGCCACUAAAUUACUUUUAAUGAUUAAUGGAGCAUGCUGUACUUUUUGAUAACAUCGGAAUGUAUGUAUGAUUGAAUUGAAAGCAUUUUCUGUAAAGUGCCUCAAGACAACAUUUGUUGUGAAUUGGUGCAAUAUAAAUAAAAAUGAAUUGGAUUGAAAUGUUCUUUAAGUAGUUACCAAUUGUUAAGUCUGUGAAGCCGGUGUGACGUACAGUUUCGGUCUGCUUAGAUUGUGCAUGUCUGCUUAAAGUGAUGAAUCCCCACAGGAAUAACACUUCUAACAUUUAAAGACACACAGCCGAGGAUUAUCAGAUGAUUUUCCCGUCAUUCCAUCCUCGAAAGUUCUUUCACUGUGUAUUUUUUUCUGAUCUGAAUCCAGUUAUUCCUGUCGAGGAAAAAAUUUGAUCCCUUCCAGCUUAAAAACUUCAAAUCUGCAAGGAUCAAACAAGAUCAUCUACAAGCCAGUGAUCUGCUUACUGAACAGAUCAGUGGACUGGAUCUCCCAAACCAAACAGGAACACAAUCUAAAGGUCCUUUCCUUCUCACAAUCAAACAAGAAUGCAACAAUCACUAUUUUUAGAUUCUCUCUUUUUCUCUCUUUCUCUCUCUCUCCCUCUCUCUCACUCUCUGCCUCUUCUAUCACCCUCAUUUUCAGGUUCUCCAUGUUUCUCAACUAUGUCUUCUUUAUUUCCACAAGUCAUUUUCAAUGAUUAUUAUUCAAAGAUGCUUCAUGUCAACAUGGUCUCUGCCUGCUGUAAACACGGUAACUCACUCAGCUGAAACAAUAGCCUUUACAAUCCUGCACAUUGAAAUGAGGGAGGAACAUUUCUGUUUCAAAUGUCCAUAUAUGGGGCUGAACAGACCUGCUUGCUCUGGUUAAGCCUUCAUGAAUUUAAAUGCAAUGCAGCCUGUUUGCUCGGGGGGUGAAAUGGUAAAAUGUGCU